rnacentral:lncRNA from 1 species
UCUAGUUCACCAUGUGUUAAACUACUUAAGCGAUUGUUUAUGUUUAUGUGGCGAAAUUAAAAACAUUCUUUCAUUACGAAUUUUACAGCACAAAUAUAACGAAAUCUAAAUCCGAAAAGCACAAUAUUAAUUUCGCAGAAUAUAUUAUAAUGCAUAUAAGAGCAUUAUUUAUUACUUACACACAAACAUAUGCAAAUACAUCUGCAUUAAUAGACGACAAGUAUCAGAUAAUUCUGGGCGUGAAUCGGCUUAGUAAUAUCACGAACAACAAAGGCAUUCCGGAAAGUGAAGAUAUGGUCUACUCCGAAUAUUUGACAGUUUUACCUGAUAUAAAAAUCUUAUUGCGCCUAGUUAAUUCUUCAUGAUUUUUCAUUUAACAACGAUAAUUUAGAUUACUCAUUAUAAAAAGGACCGUUUUGCAGUAAGUACCUCAAAUAAUUAAAGCUAAACUCUGUAAAAAGUUAGAUAAACAGUAUCCAUUUUCCGUUUGGCGCGGAGUAACAGAAUCACAAUGUAUCAGCUAACAACUUAAAUAUUUUAUGCGUUUUCAUUAUUCGCUCCCCGGUAUCGUGCUUCGAAAAUCAUUUCAUCCAAAAACUGAUUUCAACCACACAGGAUCAAUUUUCUAUUGUUGGCCAAGAAAUAUAAAUAGCAAUCUUCGUAUACAUACACAUAUAUGAGUUAUAAAGCAUGCACCCACCUCGAUUUUACGUCCCUCAACCACAGUGCCGUGAAGACGUUCGCGAGCUCGUUCAGCGUCGUUGCUAUUUGC